rnacentral:lncRNA from 1 species
CUGGUAGUCUUGGUUCUUUAAGAAAGCAGGCAGAGUAAGCCAGGGGAAGCAAGGCAGUAAGGAACAUCCCUCCAUAGCCUCUGCAUCAGCUCCUGUUUUCUGACCUGCUUGAGUUCCAGUCCUGACUUCCUUGGUGAUGAACAGCAGUAUGGAAGUUAUCCAACACAGGUAGUCACUUGUGGUGAUGCGACACCAGAGAAAAGGAACAGGAGGCAGAAGACAGGAACCAUUCACUGGCAAGUUGUGAUAUGGGGUUUCUCCCAGGCUACGACUCUAGUGAGAUUAAAAGAUAGAAAAGAGCAUUCCCAUUCAAAAGCAUUUAAGGGGCCUGGAAACCUGCUGCUUGCAGGAGACACCAGUGGCUGGGAUCACAGUCUAGACUGAAGGCAAGACUCUGUAAGAUUCCAGGGUCUGUCAGACCCUGCUGCCCUGCUGGAGCAGUACAUCGGGUGUCCUGGCUUCUAGAUUGUACCUUUACUGUUCCAGGUGACUUCUCAGAGAAAUCUGAAUGUGGGUCUGUGUGUGAACAUUUUCCUAUUUUCUACAAAGAGACUUCAUCACAGAGGCUCCGUAGAGGAAGUCAUUGCGGUUCCGUGUCCAGUCCUCCGUGAGGGUGGAGCUACUGCCAAACGUCUUCUGCUAGUGGUCCUCUAGUU